UUUCUUUCGGAACUAAAGUUCUCUGUUGUGGUUUCCACUGCUGCGGAAUUUGUUAAUGGACCAAAGGAAACCUGACGUGUGCACAUGUUAUGGCGCUCUGCUAAUUAAGUCGGAGUUUCACUGUUGUCGGAGGUCAAAGUGAACUGUGAAGGAUUUCUAAAGGAUUUAAGAACCUCUUUUCAGGACAAGCAGCCAACGAGUUCUCACGGCGUGAUGUGGAUGCAUUAAGGACAGAAGAGCAAAGCAAUAAACGCCCGUUUCAAAGAA